UAAGGAAUAUUGGUCAAUGGACGCAAGUCUGAACCAGCCAUGCCGCGUGAAGGAUGAAGGUCCUCUGGAUUGUAAACUUCUUUUAUCUGGGACGAAAACGGGAUUUUUAUCUCAAUUGACGGUACCAGAGGAAUAAGCACCGGCUAACUCCGUGCCAGCAGCCGCGGUAAUACGGAGGGUGCGAGCGUUAUCCGGAUUUCAUGGGUUUAAAGGGUGCGUAGGUGGGCUUAUAAGUCAGUGGUGAAAUCUCCGAGCUUAACUUGGAAACUGCCGUUGAUACUAUAGGUCUUGAAUUAUCUGGAGGUAAGCGGAAUAUGUCAUGUAGCGGUGAAAUGCUUAGAUAUGACAUAGAACACCAAUUGCGAAGGCAGCUUACUACAUAUAAAUUGACGCUGAGGCACGAAAGCGUGGGGAUCAAACA
rnacentral:rRNA from 1 species